UGCCUCCAGGAGGGGACCUGGGGGACUGGCCCAUCAAGCUUGGCUAGGCCUGGCCCUGCAGGGGUCAACCUCUCCAGUCCUCUGGUUAAGGGCCUGGCACACCGUUUCCGAAGGACUGUGGGACGUGGUGCAACCACAUGAAACACUUGAGAUGUGUUUUUUGUGAAUAAUGCCCUUUGUCACUGGAUUCCUCUCUGGAGAGCCAAUCACACGCCUUCUCCCCAGGAGAGAAGUAGGACACGAGGAAAUGGAAGAUACUGUCUUCAUUGCAGGGUCCUAUCCUGCCCAGGGAGGCCACUUGGGAGAGAAGACAAGCAGGAAGCCUUGCGCAGAGGGCAAGGAGCUGGGCAACAAGAUCCCAGUGAACAUCACAACCAGCAAUGUCAGGGGGCUGAUGGAUGUCAGACUUCCUGCUUCUUCCUGCUCAGCUAAGUCAAUUUUUAUGUGGAGUGCUGUGUAAGAGGCUGAAAUUGGUCCUCGGAUAUAGAUCUGAGAUUUGGGGGAAUGGAGUAGAAACCCCUUGUUAGAAAUGUGAAAAAAAAGGAAUAAAAAUCCCCCUCAAAUUUG